rnacentral:lncRNA from 1 species
UUUCACUAUCCAUCAUUUCCCUUUACACCUACUCUCUUGAUAUCUUAUCUCAAAAGAGUUUCUACUCUAAUUCAUCACCCUCUACCUACACACAUCAAGGUGGACUAAUAUCUAAAACCUUGAUACAUACAUACACAUCUUUGGUGCAACCAACAUAAUCAAAUUCAAAGGCAAUGAAGUUUGGGAAAGAAUACACAUCCCAAAUGGUGCCAAAAUGGC